ensembl:lncRNA
GCUCAUAGACUCCAACAUGGAAUUUAAGUUGAUAUUUAUGGUGCCCUUGAGGUUGGAAAAAAAAGGAGUGACAUGGACGUUAUGGAGACUGGACUGAAGUGGGAAGUAAACUUUUAUGUUGACUGAAAAGACACGGAAAGCAGUGAUGUCUACUUGCAAGAAGGACAGAAUGAUGGAGGUUGUGUUGAAAACAAACUGGAUAAUUUUGCUGCUUUAAAAAAGACAAACCCACUACAAAAACCGGAUGCUCUCUACUUUCAAAGGAAGACAGUUUCUGCCUUCACGUAUGAAGAGUUUUUACAACUUUUCUUUUACGUACAGAAAAUAAAAGGAAUCACAGCCAUUGACAAGUUUUGUCAAUCAAAUCAAAUCAAGUCAAAAGUGACAGCUUGAUUUUCAGGUCUCUACCUUCUCUUUAGGAAAGGGAAGUAUGAAUUAGAUCUCACAGAAAAUUUGUCACAGCAAUUAAGCUACAGAAUUGCAGAAUGCUUGUGAGAGACUUGGGUUCUGAUUUGUAAGAAAAGUGUCAUGUAGCAUAUCUAUAAAUUCUGUAGCUUUCAGUAAGUAACCAAAGCUUAAAAGGUGGAAAAAAGUCAAAAUGGACUGGUUGCUAGGGCUUGCGGUGGGAAAAAUAGAGUUACUCUUCAGUGGGUAUAGAGUUUCAGUUUUACAAGAUGAAAAGUUACAGAGAUGAAUGAUGGUGAUGACUGCACAAUGCCAGGCACGAAUUUAAUACCAUGAAAUGCCACAUUUUAAAAUGGUUAAGAUGCUAAAAUUUUUAGUAUGUCCAUUUUAUCUAAAUUUUAAAAAAUGGGAAAAAGAAGAGAGCAUUCAUCAGGUACAAAUGAAAUUAUGUUUAUAAGUUCAUAUUGUUAAAUAUUCAUCCUGUAAAUCAGAUAAGCCCUGAAUGACACCCUCUUUUUAAUAGAUUACUAGGACAAUAUAUUGAAACAACAUUAUUUAGUAUCCAAAUUUCAGAUUCCAUUUCAUCAUGGUAUAAAGACCUUUAACAGGAUAUAUAAACAAAAUGCUAAUUAAUCAGUAAACAUCCUUGUUUUAUGGUAAGAUGGAAUUGUUUGUAAAAUGUAUUUUUAUUUCAAUAGAUUUUGGGGGAUCGGGGCUGUUUGGUUUAAUGAAUAAGUUAUUUAGUGGUGAUUUCUGAGACUUUGGUGCACCCAUCAUCCGAGCAGUAUACACUGUAUCCAAUGUGUAUUCUUUUCUCCCUCACCUGACUCCUAUCCUUUCCCAAGUCCACAAAGUCCAAUGUAUCAUUCUUAUGCCUUUGCAUCAUCACAGCUUAGGAGUGAAAGCAUACGAUGCUUGAAAUAAUGGUCUCCAAUUCCAUCCAGGUUUCUGCAGAAGUCAUUAUUUCACUCCUUUUUAUGGCUGACUAGUAUACCACAGUGAUUAUAUAUAUAUAUAUAUAUAUAUAUAUAUACAUACAUACAUACAUACAUACAUACAUACAUAUAUCACAUUUUCUUUAUCCACUCAUUCAUUACUGGGCUUUAAGCCUAGCUCCAUAUUUUUGCAAUUGCAAAUUAUAUUGCUAUAAACAUAUGUGUGCAGGUAUCUUUUUCACAUAAUGACUUCUUUUUCUUUGGGUACUCAGGUGUGGGAUUCCUGGAUCAAUGGUAGCUCUACUUUUAGUUUAGUUUAAGAAAUUUCCACACUGUUUUCUACAGUAAUCAUAAAUUAGACAAAUAUUAUUUGACUUAAAAGAACUAAAUUACUGGACAAUAAUUCCAUUAUUGAGAGGGUGUGUGUGUGUAUUUGAUCCUAAUUAAAGCAUAUUGAAUGUACUCUAGAAAUAGUAAUAUUUAAUGUUCAUAGGUAAAUUUCAAGUAUUACCAAUUGAAGAAUAUAAAUUGAACUUAAAAU